CACGUAGGGCGCAAGCGUUGUCCGGAAUUAUUGGGCGUAAAGAGCUCGUAGGCGGUCUGUUGCGUCUGCUGUGAAAACCCGGGGCUUAACCCCUGGCUUGCAGUGGAUACGGACAGACUGGAGGUAGGUAGGGGAGAAUGGAAUUCCCGGUGUAGCGGUGAAAUGCGCAGAUAUCGGGAGGAACACCGAUGGCGAAGGCAGCCCCCUGGGCUGAGAUUGACGCUGAGUGCACGAAAGCGUGGGGAGCAAACAGG
rnacentral:rRNA from 1 species